AUUUUAAAUCUAGCCCUAAACACAAAAUACUUUCCCUAAUAUACAAAACAUU
rnacentral:rRNA from 1 species